GGCAGACAGGAAACAAGGAGCUGGCUGAAGUUCAGGAAGUAGUGCAGCUGGGUAUAAAGCCUAUUGCUACCAUUAAAAAGGUUUAACCAUAUACCACCAAAUAAAGGUUUAAAAAUAAAGUCUAAACAAUAUAUUUAUAGGCUACAUACAUUCAGGCUGGUCCAUUAUGCUACACAUUUUAAAAAUAAUUGAACCACAUCUACAAACUUAUUUUGGUGAUUUAGCCCACAAGUUACUUAAACUGGCAUGCCCAUUGUUUUUACAAUGAAUUAAAUGGCUUUUUUUACUGCGUUUGCCACAGUAUUCAAUCCUACACGUUAUUUUACUACAGUACAGUAGGCGGCGGUAUACUGUAGUGUGCAGUUCGUGUCCGCAUCGUCAUACGCGCCAGUAUUGCUGGAAGACUGCAGGAACAGAACCCCCUGGAAAGAUGAGUUCCUUAUUAAAGAAAGGCUUGAUGCUGUUUACUCCACACUCUUAGGCUGACUUUGUAUUAUUUGUCUGUGAAGACAGUUCACAGUUUCUGAAUCCCAUCAAGAAUGAAGACCUGGAGGCCACCAUAUUGAGAUGGUCCGAUGUCAUGAUAUGGCGCUUUUCCAAUGUAGGGUACAACUUGGCUCGGCACGAUGCAGCUCAGCUCGCUUUCGUUGCUUUUCCAGUACAGUUUAGUGUCGCUUCAGAGUGGGUGAGAUUAUAGGCAGGGGUGCACAUAACUGGUGCGUAUGCUCAAAUAGAAACAAUUCUAGUGUACCAACGUUGCUGGAAUUUUGUUACAUAGUUAGCUAAUUUACUUUGACAUAAGAGAUUUCUUCGUGCAUCAGUGGUAAGAUAAUUAAUGUGUGUUGUUAGCAGUGAUCCGCAUCUCAAUGCUUCAGACAGCUUGCUAGUACAAGUAUACAUUUAUAUGAGUUAGGCUAGUAGUUAUUUAUAAAGAUUAGAUAAGUAAAAAACAAUAACCAGGGUUAUUUUAUGUACAUCAUUGUCUACCAUGUUUAAACAAAAGCGAUAUGGCGAAGAGAGUAGUCAGGAGAAAAGUGAUGAUGUCAGCAUGUAGGAUGUCUGUGCUAUGAAUAGUGUGAGUACCAAGUAACAUCUCCAGGUACUUCUUUGAGAACCAGGACAAAAAAAGUUAUGUGCACCCCUGAUUAUAGCCUUAUUGUUAAAGUUGCGUCCUCUCUACUGCCGUAACAUCAUCGUAAAUGUGAUACAAACACACACACACACACAACAUGGAGCAACAGAGCAUAUUAAUGGAAUGCAGCCACAAAAUCAAAAUUGACAGCCACAAGUAGAUUUUCCACUACCUCUCUCACAUGACAGGUUCUAUACAAACACCCGUGUCAUCAGUACCUGUACUCCGCUGACAGAACAUUUACGCCUAUACUUUUGGUGCGUUUUGAAUGCGGAGCCAUGCGCAAAGUUACAAAACUGCCAUCCAGACAUGGGCGCGGUGGUGUGCUCUGCAUUUUUGUAACUUUGCACAUGGCUUCGCAUCCGAAACCCAUUACCCCUUCCCCAAAAGUGAGCUGUGCUGAACUGGGUCAUACUAUGCAAUGGAAAAGCGCCAAAAGUGUCCUACUUCCUGGCUUGAAUGAUUUAGAAUUUUCAGCGUUGGACUUGUGUUCCGCGUGUUUGGCCUCUUCAACACUUGCUGUUUGAAAGUCAUUGCUUGCAACAGAUUGAGUGAAUGUCAUUCUGCAUUUCUGUUUGCAUUGCUUUGCUUGCAUUUGAAUCCUUUGCAAUAAUAAAAGUUUUACAUUUGAGCUGUAGUUGUAGAUUCAAGUUUGUUUUUCCUUGAUAUAAUGUAUUUGUAUAGAUUUUUGCUGUGUGACAAUUAUAUAUCAUGCAGUGCUUCAUAUAUGAGAAAGACAACGCUUGAACCACACAACACCGUAUCAUAUUAAUCAGAAUAAACAAGUACUUGCACUUCAUUUAUAUUUAAUUGGGUGAUGUGUAACUUCACAAUGGUGGAUUCUUUAACUAUUACAUGAAUAUGUGCAUUGUGAUUUCGAUUUAUUGACAAUAGUUAUGUCUUAGGAAUAGUAUGGAAAAUCAUUAACUAAAAAAGACAUGGUGCCAGAUCUUUUUAUUCACGUUAAAUGUAAAAUUAUUGUAAAAUUGUAAGUUGCUUUAAUGGGAUCUAUGUAAUAAAAUCAGUAAAGGGUUGAUAUAAAG